CACCACCAGCAGUGGGCAAAGAGACACCUUGUUGAUGGUGGUGUUUUUGUAUCAGUCAGGGACAAAGCAGAUAGCAGUCCUUUGUUCAAUCUAGCUUGAUUCCUGGAUUAUUGGCUAGAGCUGUUUUAUGUCUAGGACAAAAAA